rnacentral:rRNA from 1 species
UACAGAGGGCGCGAGCGUUGUCCGGAAUCACUGGGCGUAAAGGGCGCGUAGGUGGCCACUAUAAGGCCGCGGUGAAAGUUCGGGGCUCAACCCUGAAUCUGCCGCGGCGACUGUAGGGCUAGGGCACCGUAGAGGCAGAUGGAAUUCCGGGUGUAGCGGUGGAAUGCGUAGAGAUCCGGAAGAACACCGGUGGCGAAGGCGGUUAGCUGGGCAGUUGCUGACACUGAGGCGCGACAGCGUGGGGAGCAAACAGG